rnacentral:tRNA from 1 species
UGGCUCAGUGGUUAAGAGCACUGGUUGCUCUUCCAGAGGUCCUGAGUUCAAUUCUCAG